rnacentral:rRNA from 1 species
UACGUAGGGGUCUAGCGUUGUCCGGAAUUAUUGGGCGUAAAGAGCUCGUAGGCGGCUUGUCGCGUCGUCUGUGAAAUCCCGCGGCUCAACCGCGGGUCUGCAGUCGAUACGGGCAGGCUAGAGUUCGGUAGGGGAGACUGGAAUUCCUGGUGUAGCGGUGAAAUGCGCAGAUAUCAGGAGGAACACCGGUGGCGAAGGCGGGUCUCUGGGCCGAUACUGACGCUGAGGAGCGAAAGCGUGGGGAGCGAACAGG